AUUGAACGCUGGCGGCAGGCUUAACACAUGCAAGUCGAGCGGGGGAAGGUAGCUCGCUACCGGACCUAGCGGCGGACGGGUGAGUAAUGCUUAGGAAUCUGCCUAUUAGUGGGGGACAACAUCUCGAAAGGGAUGCUAAUACCGCAUACGUCCUACGGGAGAAAGCAGGGGAUCUUCGGACCUUGCGCUAAUAGAUGAGCCUAAGUCGGAUUAGCUAGUUGGUGGGGUAAAGGCCUACCAAGGCGACGAUCUGUAGCGGGUCUGAGAGGAUGAUCCGCCACACUGGGACUGAGACACGGCCCAGACUCCUACGGGAGGCAGCAGUGGGGAAUAUUGGACAAUGGGGGGAACCCUGAUCCAGCCAUGCCGCGUGUGUGAAGAAGGCCUUAUGGUUGUAAAGCACUUUAAGCGAGGAGGAGGCUACUUUAGUUAAUACCUAGAGAUAGUGGACGUUACUCGCAGAAUAAGCACCGGCUAACUCUGUGCCAGCAGCCGCGGUAAUACAGAGGGUGCGAGCGUUAAUCGGAUUUACUGGGCGUAAAGCGUGC
rnacentral:rRNA from 1 species